rnacentral:rRNA from 1 species
GCUCAAAUUUGUAAUCUGGCGUCUUUCAGGCGUCCGAGUUGUAAUCUAUAGAAGUGUUUUCCGUGCUGGACCAUGUCCAAGUCCCUUGGAACAGGGUAUCAAAGAGGGUGACAAUCCCGUACUUGACAUGACCACCAGUGCUCUGUGAUACACUUUCUACGAGUCGAGUUGUUUGGGAAUGCAGCUCAAAAUGGGUGGUAAAUUCCAUCUAAAGCUAAAUAUUGGCGAGAGACCGAUAGCGAACAAGUACCGUGAGGGAAAGAUGAAAAGCACUUUGGAAAGAGAGUUAAACAGUACGUGAAAUUGUUGAAAGGGAAACGAUUGAAGUCAGUCGUGUUCAUUGGACUCAGCCGGUUUUCGGUGUAUUUCCUUUGAACGGGUCAACAUCAGUUUUGUCCGGUGGAUAAAGGCAGGAAGAAAGUGGCUCCCUCGGGAGUGUUAUAGCUUUCUGUCACAUACACUGGAGGAGACUGAGGACUGCAGCUCGCCUUUUGGCCGGGGUUCGCCCACGUUCGAGCUUAGGAUGUUGACAUAAU